AGAACAGCAGACGUCACUGGUGGCGCCAGACGGGCAUUAUCCUUAAUUUUGACAAGGAGUCUGGCCCACAAAUUAAUUAUCACACCCCAAAGCAUUUAGACAUCCUUGGUCAUAAAAUAUGAAACCAUGAGUAGUUAAGUGAGCAAAUGUGUGCGGCGGUGUUCAGUAUAAACGUUUCGACUUGGUCUAGCUGUUCACUACACGGGAUGCAUGCAGCCCAUGGCUAGGUCUGAGUAUUCUGUGCCGAUUACUUACGCAUCCACAAAAAGAAGAUUGCCGAGAAAAACAUUUUCGUUGCGUCAAUUUUCUUUCAUUCCUGCUUUUGUUGUUGUCUUCCUCCAGAAGCUACUGCCAUAGGGUGAGGAUCUUCGCGACACCUGUGAGGUCUGCUAGCAUUGCUUUACGCGCCUCAAGGAAAACCUGUCUACAUCUAUGAGAAUUGCGAUGAGGUAGUCGAGGCAUUUCUUCAGGAAGAAGAAGCGAUUGAUAUCUUCAACAGGUCGAUCUUGGCCCACGACUGUAAAUGGAAAACCAAAAGUGGCGGUGGCGGUGUUCUCUGUCAGAGAAACAGCAAAAGUACUAUCGCACAACGAAAUAUUGCACAACUGAAGCAUCGCCUGUGCCUCAUGCUGCUGUUUCAUCAAAGAUCAAGGUCAUCGCCCUUGGAGGGACUUUAUGCAUGGCAGCAUGGUUCGAGUUCCACACGGAGAAUCCUGAAGCUAAUUCUUCCAAGGCAGAGCGGGGCAUGCUGAAAGUUAUCAGAAGGCCGAAAGAAUAAAUCGGUGGUUCAUCUGCAUGUACAACCAUCGUCAAGUGUUAUCAUGUACUGUUUUUUGCAGCUGCAUAAUAUUAAACAGUCCGAGUCUGCCCCAGCAGCCCAUAUG